rnacentral:rRNA from 1 species
AUUGAACGCUGGCGGCAGGCCUAACACAUGCAAGUCGAGCGGAUGAAGGGGGCUUGCUCCUGGAUUACGCGGCGGACGGGUGAGUAAUGCACAGGAAGCUGCCUGAUAGUUGGGGCUAACGUCCGGAAAGGGAAGCUAAUACAACAUAGGAUAAGAUGGUGAACGGGGGGGUUCUUUAGAGCUAGACCGAUUAGAUGAGCCUAGGUCGGAUUAGCUAGUUGGUGAGGUAACGGCCUACCAAGGCGACGAUCCGUAACUGGUCUGAGAGGAUGAUCAGUCACACUGGAACUGAGACACGGUCCAGACUCCUACGGGAGGCAGCAGUAGGGAAUCUUCGACAAUGGGCGAAAGCCUGAUCCAGCCAUGCCGCGUGUGUGAAGAAGGUCUUCGGAUUGUAAAGCUCUUUUAGUUGGGAGGAAGGGCAGUAAGUUAAUCCCUUGCUGUCUUGACGUUACCAACAGAAAAAGCACCGGCUAACUUCGUG